CGAACGCUGGCGGCGUGCUUAACACAUGCAAGUCGAGCGGAUGAAAGGAGCUUGCUCCUGGAUUCAGCGGCGGACGGGUGAGUAAUGCCUAGGAAUCUGCCUGGUAGUGGGGGACAACGUUUCGAAAGGAACGCUAAUACCGCAUACGUCCUACGGGAGAAAGCAGGGGACCUUCGGGCCUUGCGCUAUCAGAUGAGCCUAGGUCGGAUUAGCUAGUUGGUGAGGUAAUGGCUCACCAAGGCGACGAUCCGUAACUGGUCUGAGAGGAUGAUCAGUCACACUGGAACUGAGACACGGUCCAGACUCCUACGGGAGGCAGCAGUGGGGAAUAUUGGACAAUGGGCGAAAGCCUGAUCCAGCCAUGCCGCGUGUGUGAAGAAGGUCUUCGGAUUGUAAAGCACUUUCAGUAGGGAAGAAGCGUAAGUGACGGUACCUGCAGAAGAAGCGCCGGCUAACUACGUGCCAGCAGCCGCG
rnacentral:rRNA from 1 species